GUGGCUUUAGGUGACAAACUUGUAACUUCAGCAGCAUAGCCCCCAGAGUACAUUGUUCCACCCAGCUCUAUAUAGAUUCCCUGAAUUGUUUAGCAAAGGGGUAACGAAAAAAAGGUGAAUUACAAGGAAGAACAACUCGAAUUCAACAAAAAA